CUAAGCACGAAACUUGCCCCGAGAUGAGUUCUCCCUGAGACUUAGAGCCUCCUGAAGGAACGUUGAAGACGACGACGUUGAUAGGCCGGGUGUGUAAGCGCAGCGAUGCGUUGAGCUAACCGGUACUAAUGAACCGUGAGGCUUAACCUUACAACGCCGAAG
rnacentral:rRNA from 1 species